rnacentral:sRNA from 2 species
ACCCCAACCAUCAACUCCACACGGAGCAUAUCGCAUUUCGCAUCGCGAUAUCUCUUUUGACGUUUCCUAAUACGAUAUUUCCAGUGACUCAGCACCUUUAUACCCCGAAAUCACGUCUGAAGAGAGUUGGAAAGGUCAAAGGCGCCCUCGCGGCAGGGUCUGCCAUAGGCCGGCGAAGGCCAGCCAUCACGGUCAUUUUGACAUUAUCUCGGGUUAUCUGUUUAGUUUUUCGUGGAGUAUCGUUUUACUGCUCCAUUGAAUAAUAACCCGCCUUUGACUUGUGUUGCAAUACCUAUUUCCCUACAUACCUGCCACGGUUUUCUUUUCGGUCGCCAUCACGUCUCUCAAUCGACUGCAAUCAUGGCAUCUGUCAAAUUCCCUUACUCGAAGGCGCAGUUGCGCACAAUAAAGGAGAUACAGUUUGGCCUUCUUUCGCCGGAGGAGAUCAAAAGGAUGAGCGUUGUCCAUGUUGAGUACCCGGAG